AGAGUUUGAUCCUGGCUCAGGAUGAACGCUAGCUACAGGCUUAACACAUGCAAGUCGAGGGGAAACGAUAUUGGAAGCUUGCUUCCGAUAGGCGUCGACCGGCGCACGGGUGAGUAACGCGUAUCCAACCUGCCCACCACUUGGGGAUAACCUUGCGAAAGUAAGACUAAUACCCAAUGAUAUCUCUAGAAGACAUCUGAAAAGAGAUUAAAGAUUUAUCGGUGAUGGAUGGGGAUGCGUCUGAUUAGCUUGUUGGCGGGGUAACGGCCACCAAGGCGACGAUCAGUAGGGGUUCUGGAGAGGAAGGUCCCCCACAUUGGAACUGAGACACGGUCCAAAACUCCGUAACGGGAGCCA
rnacentral:rRNA from 1 species